UCGAACGAUAGAAGCCCUUCGGGGUGGAUUAGUGGCGAACGGGUGAGUAACACGUGGGCAAUCUGCCCUUCACUCUGGGACAAGCCCUGGAAACGGGGUCUAAUACCGGAUAAUACUCCUGCCUGCAUGGGCGGGGGUUAAAAGCUCCGGCGGUGAAGGAUGAGCCCGCGGCCUAUCAGCUUGUUGGUGGGGUAAUGGCCCACCAAGGCGACGACGGGUAGCCGGCCUGAGAGGGCGACCGGCCACACUGGGACUGAGACACGGCCCAGACUCCUACGGGAGGCAGCAGUGGGGAAUAUUGCACAAUGGGCGAAAGCCUGAUGCAGCGACGCCGCGUGAGGGAUGACGGCCUUCGGGUUGUAAACCUCUUUCAGCAGGGAAGAAGCGAAAGUGACGGUACCUGCAGAAGAAGCGCCGGCUAACUACGUGCCAGCAGCCGCGGUAAUACGUAGGGCGCAAGCGUUGUCCGGAAUUAUUGGGCGUAAAGAGCUCGUAGGCGGCUUGUCACGUCGGAUGUGAAAGCCCGAGGCUUAACCUCGGGUCUGCAUUCGAUACGGGCUAGCUAGAGUGUGGUAGGGGAGAUCGGAAUUCCUGGUGUAGCGGUGAAAUGCGCAGAUAUCAGGAGGAACACCGGUGGCGAAGGCGGAUCUCUGGGCCAUUACUGACGCUGAGGAGCGAAAGCGUGGGGAGCGAACAGGAUUAGAUACCCUGGUAGUCCACGCCGUAAACGUUGGGAACUAGGUGUUGGCGACAUUCCACGUCGUCGGUGCCGCAGCUAACGCAUUAAGUUCCCCCGCCUGGGGGAGUACGGCCGCAAGGCUAAAAAUUCAAAUGAAUUGACCGGGGGA
rnacentral:rRNA from 1 species